rnacentral:rRNA from 1 species
GUGCCAGCAGCCGCGGUAAUACGUAGGGCCCAAGCCAAGUCCGGAAUUAUUGGGCGUUUAGCGCGCGCAGGCGGUCCCUUAAGUCUGAUGUGAAAUCUCGUGGCUCAACCGCGAGCGGUCAUUGGAAACUGGGAGACUUGAGUACAGAAGAGCAGAGUGGUUUUCCACGUGUAGCGGUGAAAUGCGUAGAGAUGUGCAGGAACACCAGUGGCGAAGGCGACACACUGGUCUGUCACUGACGCUGAGGUGCGUUUGCGUGGGUAGCGAACAGGAUUAGAAACCCUGGUAGUCC